rnacentral:rRNA from 1 species
UACGUAGGGUGCAAGCGUUGUCCGGAAUUAUUGGGCGUAAAGAGCUCGUAGGCGGUUUGUCGCGUCUGCUGUGAAAACUCGGGGCUUAACCCCGGGCCUGCAGUGGGUACGGGCAGACUAGAGUGCGGUAGGGGAGACUGGAAUUCCUGGUGUAGCGGUGAAAUGCGUAGAUACUGGGAGGAACACCAGUGGCGAAGGCGGCUACCUGGACCGGUUCUGACGCUGAGGCGCGAAAGCGUGGGUAGCAAACAGG